GCCAGGCAUGGUGGUGCACACCUGUAAUCCCAGCUACCUUGGGAGGCUGAAGCAGGAGGAUCACAAGUUGGAGGCUAGCCUCUGCAACUUAGUGAAAUUCUGUCUCUA
rnacentral:sRNA from 1 species